AUUCUUCCACUUUUGAUUGAUGUUGGGUCACAUCUUGUUACUAGGACAACUGGUCAUCACUUUAUUACUAAUUGUGGACACAGUGGUUUCACCAUUCAUAGUUUUACGCUGCUUUUUGGGUUUAUAAUUUCAGCAGUUACCUGCUCCUGUAUCGGUAAAGAUGCUGAUGAAGCUUGUUCCCGAGCCUCUGCUCAUGGUUUCUGGAAAAUUGUGAUCCACUGUAUUGUACCUUUUAUUGUUGAUCUUGAUAAAAUGAUCCCAUCAAAAUCAUCAUCAUCUUGUUUUGAUGCUUUUUCAUGUAUCAUGUUAGCUGUCCAGUUAGCUAUCUCCAUUUGUACUGUCUAUUGUUAUAGCAACAAACAGAAACCACAUAGAAACUUUUAAGCAAUAAGUGUAUAUUGCUGCUGCACAUUAAUUUUGCAUUAUACAGCUAUUUUAGGCUAUGUUUCUGUGCCAUUUGGUUUUGUGCAUCAAGUCACUAUUAUUGUGAAUAUUGUUAUUUAUUUUCAAAAUUGGGAGGGGCUGGUUGCUGCAGAAUGUGUGAACAGUUUGUAUUAGGUUGUAUAUGUCCAUUACUCCUUGAUAUAGGUCUCCAUUUUAUUACUAAAGUAACUGGUCAGUACUUUAUCACUAACUGUCAUUUUAGCAAUAAUUGGACUCAUUUUGUGAUGCUGUUGGAUGGUGUCAUCAUUUCAGUCCUUGCUAUAUGUUGUAUUACUUGCAUUUCAGGAAAAGGAUCAUACUGGAGGAUAAUUGUUAACAUAAUAGUCAAAGUCAUGUUCCACUUUGUCUUGCCAAAAUUGGAUGGAUUUGUGGAAGUAACAAGUGAUGGUCUUUUUUCAUGCAAUAAUAAGACUACCUUUUAUAUUCUUAUGGUUGUGUACAUGAUAUUAUUUCCAAUUUUUGUCAUGAUUAUUCAAGUAGGCUGUGAAAAUUGUUGUAAGCAGCCCAAAAAAUAAA